UACAGAGGGGCAAGCGUUGUUCGGAAUUACUGGGCGUAAAGGGCGCGUAGGCGGCCGCCUAAGUCAGACGUGAAAUCCCUCGGCUCAACCGGGGAACUGCGUCUGAUACUGGGUGGCUUGAAUCCGGGAGAGGGAUGCGGAAUUCCAGGUGUAGCGGUGAAAUGCGUAGAUAUCUGGAGGAACACCGGUGGCGAAGGCGGCAUCC
rnacentral:rRNA from 1 species